UCCAGGUCUGUGGUUGCGAGGGUCACAGUAGGCCCUCUAGUCCAUGGCAGACGAGGCCGAAGGGAUCCACGUAAGUCUCCGCGUGCGCGCGGCGGCGAUCAUGGCUCGUCCUAGAGGUAAGUCGCACCGUCCGUUAUACCUAAGAGGCAUCCGGCCUCGCGGGCGAGAGGGUCAGUAGUGAGGGGGCCACGGUCCUUUGAGCAAACGCCCCAGUGCGCGAGUGUGGGGGCAAAGACCAGGUCAGCUGGAU
rnacentral:ncRNA from 1 species